rnacentral:sRNA from 1 species
GGUCCCUCCUGAGGCGGCCCCCGGAUGAAGAGAUCUGGGAACCCGGGAGCCGAGGCAACGAGCAGCUCGGUGGCGGGGCCUGACUGCUGCGGAGGCCUCGGCAAUAUUGAUUUUAGACAGGCAGACUUCUGCGUUAUGACCCGGCUGCUGGGCUACGUGGACCCCCUGGAUCCCAGCUUCGUGGCUGCCGUCAUCACCAUCGCCUUCAAUCCGCUCUACUGGAAUGUGGUUGCACGGUGGGAACACAAGACCCGCAAGCUGAGCAGGGCCUUCGGAUCCCCCUACCUGGCCUGCUACUCCCUGAGCGUCACCAUCCUGCUCCUGAACUUCCUGCGCUCGCACUGCUUCACGCAGGCCAUGCUGAGCCAGCCCAGGAUGGAAAGCCUGGACACCCCUGCGGCCUACAGCCUGGGACUCGCGCUCCUGGGACUGGGCGUCGUGCUUGUGCUCUCCAGCUUCUUUGCACUGGGGUUCACUGGAACUUUCCUAGGUGAUUACUUCGGGAUCCUCAAGGAGGCAAGAGUGACCAUGUUCCCCUUCAACAUCCUGGACAACCCCAUGUACUGGGGAAGCACAGCCAACUACCUGGGCUGGGCUAUCAUCCUCUGCCCAUGUGGCAGAUACCCCUUCCCACAGAGGGGGCCCCAUGCCAUAAGGGAAGC